ensembl:lncRNA
CAUGAAAUCAAUGGGUUCGGCAAGAGCCAGAACAUACGUGGGUAAAGCAGCGUUUUGAAAAUUCAACAUUUUGGCUUUGAUACUCUGAUUGGUUAGAGAUGAUCCAAUCACUGAUGACUUUGUUUUGUACAACACCCCUCAUUUUGAUGUCACCACAAACGACUUUGCCGAAUGAAGUGUGUAGCAAACAGAGCAGAGGAAGAAUUCAGUUUGAGUUGUCAGGCCAUGGUUUUGAAGGUGAAUUCCUAGGAUUUUACAUGGUCUGUAUCCAGACCGCUCAUGUCCAAUCACAGGCUGAUCUUCUCUUCCUGACACAUGAGUCCAGCAUCAUCCCCACCACCCACCCACAUCUGACUGAGACCAGGGUUGUGAUUACGGGCACGAAAUGAAGGAAAAUGGUCCGAAACGGAGUGAUGCGGCAAGGAAACCUGUUCGAUCACCAUGCACCAUAAAAUAAUUCUGGCAAUGGAUACAGAGAACAUCAACACGCCAGAGGAUAUACCCAUUGGGGCUCUGCAGGGAGUUUUGUCACACCUGCGCCAGGCUGCCCAUCAUUACGCACACCGGUCACCUUCGUUACGCGCAUCAGCGCUUCAUUGGACUCACCUGCACUCUGUCACGUCUGCUCGCCCCUCAAUGGCGCUCGAGGGCGCCAGGCUGCCUAUCAUUACGCACAUCGGUCCCAUUCGUUACGCGCAUCAGCGCUUUAUUGAACUCACCUGUACUCCUUCACGUUUUGAUUGCCUUCUCUAUAUUUGUCUGUUCCUCUAUUUCAUCCCCAUGUCAGCAUUAUUGUUGUUUAUGUUUUCCCUGUCCACACGCUGUCUGUGGUCUGUUUUGUGCCCGUUGUUUAUUAAGUGUUCACUCCCUGUACUGGCUUCUCGUCUCCCAGCAUCUGUCCUCACAAGUUUACCUCCUAUUUGGAUUUCUUUAUUCUGUUUUGCCACUAAAAUCAUAAUAAACACUGACAGCUAAA